rnacentral:rRNA from 1 species
CUCAACCGGUGAAUGGCCUUUGAAACUGUUAAACUUGAGGAUAAGAGAAGAAAACGGAGUUCCUAGUGUAGUGGUGAAAUACGUAGAUAUUAGGAAGAAUACCAAUGGCGAAAGCAGUUUUCUAACUUAUUCCUGACGCUGAGGUACGAAAGCUAGGGUAGCAAACGGGAUUAGAUACCCCGGUAGUCCUAGCCGUAAACGCUGGAUACUAGGUGUUGGGGGUUCGACCCCCUCGGUGCCGGAGUUAACGCAUUAAGUAUCCCGCCUGGGGAUUACGACCGCAAGGUUGAAACUCAAAGGAAUUGACGGGGGCCCGCACAAGCGGUGGAGCAUGUGGUUUAAUUCGAAGCAACGCGAAGAACCUUACCAGAACUUGACAUCCCAAUGCUCGCUUCUUAAUCGAAGCUUUCCCUUUCAGGGACAUA